rnacentral:lncRNA from 1 species
AUAACUGAGUUCCUCUUUUUUCUUUUCUUCUAACCCAUAAUAUCAAGCUUCUGCAUUUUGGAGGAAACAGUGGGCAAGGCCUAUCAUUUUUCCAGUAUAGGAAUAUUCUUCAAUCAAUACAGAUCAGGAAGAGAAGAAACCCUGAGGGGCAUGUAGUGAUGAGCCUUAUUCCUUCAAAGGGUAAAAAUAAAAUCAAAUCUCUGGUUUUACUCACUCUCGAACCUCAACAUUUUAGUAUACCUUAAUAUGAAUAACAAGGACUUUCAUGAAGAUUUUGCAAAUAGGUAACACAGUCUAAGAGAUGUCUGUGGAAAGGAACUGGGCAAAACUGACUAUUAUGUUUAGGUGUUGGUGUGCAAGCUAGGCACUGAUUAUAAUUAUGUGAAUCUCCAUGCCUUCUUUACUAUUUUUAGGCUAUCUCUGAGUACCAACUCAACCACCUGGUGUUUACAUAUCCUCCUGCCCACUCCAAAUUGUAGUUCUUCAUAGGUAGGGAAACAUAUAGGUAUUUGUCCUCAAAGAAAUAAUAUGUGGUGUAUAAGCUUAAGAAAACCAGUAAUAAUGGAUAUAAAUUAAGUAUUAAAAUUAGGAAGAUUGUAGCUGAAGCAACAUUUAUGUAUAUGUAGGUGUUGGUUAUAUGACCCCAUGCAAGGUUCUUAAUCAUCAAUAAUCAGUUAUAAGCAUUUGUAGAAAGAGUUUCCUUAUAGUAGGACCACUUUCAUGCUUCAAAUCACACAAUUAGAGGAAAAAUAAAACACAAAAUUUGUCUUGGACA